rnacentral:rRNA from 1 species
UACGUAGGCAGCAAGCGUUGUUCGGAGUUACUGGGCGUAAAGGGUGUGUAGGCGGUUGUUUAAGUUUGGUGUGAAAUCUCCCGGCUCAACCGGGAGGGUGCGCCGAAUACUGAAUGACUAGAGUGCGGGAGAGGAAAGUGGAAUUCCUGGUGUAGCGGUGAAAUGCGUAGAUAUCAGGAGGAACACCGGUGGUGUAAACGGCUUUCUGGACCGUAACUGACGCUGAGACACGAAAGCGUGGGUAGCAAACAGG